CAUGCCUGUACUAUAGAUAGGUUUGAAAUGAUUUCUUUUAAGUGUAUUUUUCUGAUAAAGUCUUUAUUUUUCCUUUGUUCUUGAUAUUUUCUCUGGGCAUACUAUUUUCAAGACACAAUGAGAUGCAUUGAAUAAAGAAAGGUGAAUGCUAUAUGGUUCACGUUGAAAUAUUUCAAUUGAGCCAAUUUCAUAAACACACAGACUAUUGAUUCUGUUUCCCUGACUAUUCCUAACUACAAUCCACCUGAAUAUUACUAUCAGGAUAUAGUGCUGAUCUGAAUGAUAAUAUAUAUAUAUAUUUUUUUUCUUAUUUUCCCCUCUUCUCUCAUAGCAAAAAUUCUCCAAAGAAAAUAAGCCUUUUUGACAAUUAAAACAAUAAACUUUACACGUCAUCAAAACAUUAGAAAAUAUGUCUGCACAAAUGAAUACUUUAAAAAUAUAUUGUCAAUGAAAUGGAGAUAAACAUGGUAACAUCUUGGCAUGUGUACUUCUAGAAUUUUUUUUCUUUGUUUUUUAGAUGGAGUUUCACUCUUGUUGCUCAGGCUGAAGUGCAGUGGCACUAUUUCAGCUCACUGCAACCUCCCUCUCUCCAGUUGAAGCGAUUCUUCUGCCUCAGCCUUACAAGUAGCUGGGAUUACAGACUUGGCUGUAUGUGGCUUGGCUCCAAAAGUAGACAAACAUUGAGUAACUUGCCAGGAACUAUCUCAGCUACUACACUAGAGGAGCAAGUUUUUCUGCUGUGAGUGAGGUGCUAAGAAUUAAUAUGAGAACUUCAAAAACAAAAAACAGUUUUGGAGUAGUGUGUUUGUUAGUGAGACGUCAGUAAAACCUGACUGUAGAUUAGUAAAAUUAAUACAGGAAAGGGAUAGACAAAAAGUGAAAAUAUA
rnacentral:lncRNA from 13 species